GCUAAACGCGAAGAACCUUACCCAGACUUGACAUCGCAGGACCGUCAUGGAAACAUGAUUUUCCCUUCGGGGACCUGCAGACAGGUGUUGCAUGGCUGUCAUCAGCUCGUGUCGUGAGAUGUUGGGUUAAGUCCCGCAACGAGCGCAACCCCUGUCCUUAGUUACCAGCGGUUCGGCCGGGCACACUAGGGAGACUGCCCGUGAUAAGCGGGAGGAAGGUGGGGACGACGCAAGUCAUCAUGGCCCUUACGUCUGGGGCUACACACGUGCUACAAUGGCCGGUACAAAGGGUCGCAAUCCCGCGAGGGGGAGCCAAUCCCAAAAAGCCGGUCUCAGUUCGGAUUGGAGUCUGCAACUCGACUCCAUGAAGCCGGAAUCGCUAGUAAUCGCGCAUCAGCUACGGCGCGGUGAAUACGUUCCCGGGUCUUGUACACACCG
rnacentral:rRNA from 1 species